rnacentral:lncRNA from 10 species
AAAAACUCAAAUCCAAAAAGGUUCUGAAGAUUUUUAGUGCCAUUGGUUUGUGUUAUAGCUAAUGCCAGUAUUGUGCCUAUUAAUAAGAGACCAAAUAAAAAGCAAAAAUAAAACAGAUCAUUUAAUUAUAAUUUAAUUUAUCUAAUGAAGACCAGCAAUUAUAAAACUUCACACACACCUAACUUCAGUUGUUAUACAAAAUCAUAAUCAUUUGUACCUUUCUAAGAAGAAACACUGUGUUCAGAGCUUAUGUUAUGAUUAAUGAACAGUGACAGCAGCUAAAAUUCAUAUAGCCACUAUAUUUUCAUUUUGUGGCAAAUAGCUAUCAACAACUUACUGUAUGAUUUAAUUAAGUGGUUAAAAGGAUCUAGCUUCAAGUUUAUGCUCUAAGUAAAAUGUUUUUCAAAGAUGGGCAGUAAACAGUAUUUUCCCCCUGUGGAAAAGCAGUUUUUCAUUCUUCCAAAAAUUGUACCAAGGUAAAGCAAAGCUCUAGAUGAUGCAGGCAUGUUAUGUAGGCGUUAGCAGUACUGCCCUCACUAUGUGCUCAUUGGACAGUAGUGCAACCCCAAGAAAAAGAUGGUUAGCAGUUUUUGUUGUUGUUGUUGUUGUUGUUAACGAAAUAAAACAAAAAACAGCUCAUUGCUAGUAAGGAAACUAUUUUGUGAAACUUUCUUCUUUUUAUGUGUGCAUAUACUAAGUCACAAUGUAAAUGUAUUUCUUAGAAUGAGUCUCAGAAAGGUU